UGUAUCUGUAAUUAUCAAUGUAACUGUUAUCUGGAUAAAUUCCGCCGGUCAAUUAGAGAUAAAGAUGAGAAAUUACCCAAUCUUCGUGGAUACAACAUUUUACUUUUUUACCAAUCUCUUGACAAAAUUAACUAAUUUAUGUAACAAAAAUUAUCAAUUCAUGUCUAGCCGUAAGAAAUUAGCUAAUUUCUUCCCAGAAGACUUGCUUCUCGACCAAGCGAAGGUAGCACACCCAACAACCGCGUACAUGCCGCCAUGGAAGCAGCCGGCCGCGGACCUCCAGGCACACCACCGGCGCCGGGGUGGAGCAUCGCGUUGAUAGGAAGCGACGCUCACAGGCCACAGCUGCGCCGACACACCCAGCCGGUCGGAGGCUCGCAGCCGCGCCGUCGCCUUGUUGAACUCCCGCGCCGUCAAUGCCCGCACCGAGAUGAAGGCCGAUGCCGAUGUGCGCCGCCGGCCCUUGGACGGACUCCUUCCCGCUAGAUCGGAGCUCCGGCGUGGCCUGAUUGGCGGCCCCCACCACAUCUACAGGCAUGUCCACGGGGAAGGACAGAAGGAAUAGGAAAUCGUUAGUCUGCGACAAGAGAAAG
rnacentral:misc_RNA from 1 species